rnacentral:lncRNA from 1 species
CGGAGCGAAGCAGCUGGGUUUUGUUUUUAAUAACCAAAAGAUGAUGAUGAUGCCACGUGGCAGUCCCCGGCCCUUCUGACCGGACGUCUUGUUCCCAUUGGAAGGUCACACCAAGUAAGGGGCGAUUCGACCUCUGGGACUGCUAGAACACAAGGAGAAGGAGACAGGAACCGAGGAGAUUUGGGCACGGAGAGCGUCGGUCUUGGAGGCAUGGGAAGACGGAGGCUGCAGGGGAAAACAGAGCCGGAAAGAAGGAAGAAGGGAUGGCGAGGAAGGAGAAUCUGCAGGACGUUCAGACGUGGAAAGGGCAGAGGUCGAUGCGGAGUGUGAAGUGCCGGAGGAAGAAGCAUCCGCUGGGAAAGAAAGCGAGCCUCUUGGAAGUGCGUUAACAGACAGGCAGGAUGGAUCGGAGCCGGAGGAAGGAGAACCGGAGGGGACCAGCAGGGCGGAUGGAUGCGAGGACGAGGAAGGAGCAGACGGGGAGAUUUGGGGGCCUAGCCUGGAGGGAGAAAAUGGGACGUCAAGGGCAGAAGAAGCUCAGGAAGGGGUCAGUGUGGAGGAAGAAGAAGGGGUCCUGGAAGGUAGACGUGGUGAGAGGGGAAAGAAGAAAGAAGAGGAUGAUGGAGGACAAGCCAGCAAAGAUGGGGGUGAGCCCCAUGGGGAUGAAGGAGGCAGAAAUGGAAAUCAUAGUCAAGAAACAGGCCUGGAGUGGGACUUAGGGAGCCAGGCGCAGGCGGCUGGCGGUCCAGAAGAAGAGGCGUCCAGCGCCAGCAGUGGCUCCGUGAUGGUCUCCUUGGGAGCCAGGCAUCAUGGCCCAUCCAAGCAGUAAGUUUUCUUUCUCUUCUUUGUGGGUGUUCUACCAGGGCGUUUGGGAGCUCCCGUUCCCUCUUCUCUGUGGGAAGGAGCUCCCACAACUGUUCCUUUUUUUCUUUCUUUAUGAGGGAGGAUGAUGAUGAGAGAAGCGGAAACCCUAGUCUGCAGAGCGACAGUCCGACGGAAGCUCAGCGAACACAAGCAGGCAAGUGCGGGCUCCGAUUCAAUAGCGAAGGCUGGUCACUCCGUCCUCUGCGCGUUCGCUCACCUUUUAGGGUAGGGGUGGGAACAGGUGGCCCUCCGGAAUAUUGUCGGGCCGUAACUCCCAGGAGAGCCGUCCAGCACAGCUCAGGGUGAGAGAUGGUGGAGAUGAUGGUCAGAAAUAUCUGGAAGGAUCCUCAUUCCAUAGUGUUCUUUCCCAAUCCUCCUUGGAGACCCCAAAAGGUGAGAUCUUGGGAACAUCCACCACGGAGCUCCCUUGAAAAACAAGGAAGGUUCUUGUCCACGUGACUAUUGUUCCCUUUUGUGUGGUGCGUUCUGCGCCACCCUUCCCCAGCUUAAAGUCGUUCAGAUGUGUUAGACUAUAAUUGCCAUCUUCUGCCAGCCAGCAUGGCCCUUGAGGAGGAUAGGAGUUGUUGUUGUUGAGUCGUUAAGCUGUGCCCGACUCUUCGUGACCCCAUGGACCAGAGCACGCCAGGCCCUCCUGUCUUCCACGGCCUCCCGGAGUUGGGUCAAAUUCAUGUUGGUCGCUUCGAAGACCCUGUCCAGCCAUCUCGUCCUCAGCCGUCCCCUUCUCCUCUUGCCUUCACUCUUUCCUAACAUCAGGGUCUUUUCCAGGGAGUCUUCUCUUCUCAUGAGAUGGCCAAAGGGUUGGAGUUGUAGUACAA